rnacentral:rRNA from 1 species
GACGAACGCUGGCGGCGUGCUUAACACAUGCUAGUCGAACGGAAAGGCCCUGCUUUUGUGGGGUGCUCGAGUGGCGAACGGGUGAGUAACACGUGAGUAACCUGCCCUUGACUUUGGGAUAACUUCAGGAAACUGGGGCUAAUACCGGAUAGGAGCUCCUGCUGCAUGGUGGGGGUUGGAAAGUUUCGGCGGUUGGGGAUGGACUCGCGGCUUAUCAGCUUGUUGGUGGGGUAGUGGCUUACCAAGGCUUUGACGGGUAGCCGGCCUGAGAGGGUGACCGGCCACAUUGGGACUGAGAUACGGCCCAGACUCCUACGGGAGGCAGCAGUGGGGAAUAUUGCACAAUGGGCGGAAGCCUGAUGCAGCAACGCCGCGUGCGGGAUGACGGCCUUCGGGUUGUAAACCGCUUUCGCCUGUGACGAAGCGUGAGUGACGGUAAUGGGUAAAGAAGCACCGGCUAACUACGUGCCAGCAGCCGCGGUGAUACGUAGGGUGCGAGCGUUGUCCGGAUUUAUUGGGCGUAAAGGGCUCGUAGGUGGUUGAUCGCGUCGGAAGUGUAAUCUUGGGGCUUAACCCUGAGCGUGCUUUCGAUACGGGUUGACUUGAGGAAGGUAGGGGAGAAUGGAAUUCCUGGUGGAGCGGUGGAAUGCGCAGAUAUCAGGAGGAACACCAGUGGCGAAGGCGGUUCUCUGGGCCUUUCCUGACGCUGAGGAGCGAAAGCGUGGGGAGCGAACAGGCUUAGAUACCCUGGUAGUCCACGCUGUAAACGGUGGGUACUAGGUGUGGGGUCCGUUCCACGGGUUCCGUGCCGUAGCUAACGCUUUAAGUACCCCGCCUGGGGAGUACGGCCGCAAGGCUAAAACUCAAAGGAAUUGACGGGGCCCCGCACAAGCGGCGGAGCAUGCGGAUUAAUUCGAUGCAACGCGUAGAACCUUACCCGGGUUUGACAUGGAUCGGGAGUGCUCAGAGAUGGGUGUGCCUCUUUUGGGGUCGGUUCACAGGUGGUGCAUGCCUGUCGUCAGCUCGUGUCGUGAGAUGUUGGGUUAAGUCCCGCAACGAGCGCAACCCUUGUUCACUGUUGCCAGCACGUUAUGGUGGGGACUCAGUGGAGACCGCCGGGGUCAACUCGGAGGAAGGUGGGGAUGACGUCAAGUCAUCAUGCCCCUUAUGUCCAGGGCUUCACGCAUGCUACAAUGGCUGGUACAGAGAGUGGCGAGCCUGUGAGGGUGAGCGAAUCUCGGAAAGCCGGUCUCAGUUCGGAUUGGGGUCUGCAACUCGACCUCAUGAAGUCGGAGUCGCUAGUAAUCGCAGAUCAGCAACGCUGCGGUGAAUACGUUCCCGGGGCU